GUGCAUAUCUGUUUGAACAAAAGGGGAACCUUCCUCUAAGACUAAAUAUGAUAUAUAUGCGAUAGUGAAUAGUACCGUGAGGGAAAUGAUUUAAAUAGCAAUUUUAUAAGCAGCUCAAGAAAUGUUUAAGUAAGCAAGGAGAGCGUACCUUUUGCAUAAUGGGUCAGCAAGUUAAUAUUUGAUGCGAGCGCUAAUGCGUAGAUAAAACAAUUAUGAUAUAAUGAUGUAGUAUCAAAGAUUAGACCCGAAACUUAGUGAUCUUACCAUGAUCAGGAUUAUAAAAGUCCGAACGGGUUAUCGUUGUAAAGAUAUCCGAAGAAUUGUGGUAAGUUAGUGAAAGACAAUACUGACUAAGAUAGCUGGUUUUCCGCGAAACCUAUAUAAGUAGGUAAUUUAAAUAGAAUAUCAGAAGGUACAGAAUUGUGAUCUCAUACAACUAGUAUUUUUUUUUUCAGCUAUAAAAUGUUUAAGGAAAAAACGCUUUUUGUGGACAUUGGGGGGUCGUGAAGACUUUAUCAGUGAGUAUUUGUUCUCGGAAGGGCUAGAUAUGAAUAUUGAAUAAUCGGACAUAGUACGAUAAGGUUGUAUGUCUAAAGGGAAACAGCCCAGAACAAGAGUUAAUAAGGUUCCAAAAUUUUUGUUAAGUGAAAUUAAGGAAGUAUUUGUCCCAUCCGGCCAGGUAAUAGGCUUAGAAGCGGCCAUUUUUUGAAGAUCUCGUAACAGAGCACUGGUUUUUAUAUAAUAAUAUGGAUAAAAGCACCAAAAAUUUAACGGAUCUAAACAAUUUACCGAAACCUUGUCCAUAUGUAAAAAUAUAGAUUGUAUAUUGUACAAAUGGGGUAGCGGAACAUUGGGCAGGUUUUAGAUUAUUCCUUUAUAAGGACUAAAAUUAAACAGUUCAAGUGAAAAUGCUGACAUGAGUAACGAUAAAGGGUGUUACCCUCGCCUAAAGCUUAUGGAAUUUAGAUAAAGUUACGGCCUCUAAGUUUGUUAUGUUUAUAUGUGUAAAAUCUAAUUUUUACAAAAAAACCCAAAAGGGAUAGACGAUGAGCAAAUCUAGCUUUUACAGAAAAUAACAUUUUUAGACAUAUCUCUUUAGAUAUUAGUGACAAAUGUUCCGGAAAACUGUAAACAUUGCACCUUAGGUAAAUAUAAACCUGAGGUGCGAUAUUACCGUACCUAAAUACUAACACAAGUAAGCAAGUAGAGUAUACGAAGGCGUUCGAGUGAACAAUCAUUAAGGAACUCGGCAAAUUGACUCACGUAACUUCGGGAUAAGGUGGGCCAUUCCUCUUGAUUAAUAUCAGGUAGGAAGAGGAGGCACAGAAUGGUGUUGUACGACUGUUUAAUUAAAACAAAGCACGCUGCAAAGAAAUGAAUUCGAAGUAUUGAGUGUGAUCUCUGCCCGAUGGCGGCUGGCUAUCGGAUUUUCUUAGUUAAAUAACAUAAGCUAGGUUUUGAAGGAACCCCCGUUCAAUGGCGGCCUUACCUAUAAGGGUCCUAAGGUAGCGGAAUACCCUGGCCGUUAAAUGCGGUCUUGCAUGAAUGAUGUAACGAUACAACAGCUGUCUCAAUGAUUGGCUCGGUGAAAUUGGAAUAACUGUGCAGAUACAGUUUACCUCUAGUUAGACGAGAAGACCCUAUGCAGCUUUACUGUUGCUAGUUACUGAGUAUGAUAGAAUGAGUCGUAGUGUAUAAGGUAAUCGCUAAGAUAGAAUUGAAACACCUUUACUUCAUUUAUCAUAUUAUAUAAACCCUACCAGGAGAUAGGUCUAUAAGUGGCCAUUCUUUUAAGAUUUCGUGCUAAUAUUUAUGACAUGAGCACUGGUUGUAAAAAAUUUAUAGGAACAAUUGCUAGGUGGCAGUUUAUGCGGGGCACAGAUCCCAUAAAAAGUACCUGCAAGUUUAACGGCUUAAUCCUGCUUUACUGUUUGACUUACACGUCUAUCAGUCGCGUAAGCGGGGCAUAUGAUCACAAGAUGCAUAAAGGAAAGGUUUUGGAUUAUUGAAAAAGUUACGCUAGGGAUAACAGGCUAAUUGCGCCAGAGAGUUCAAAUUGAGUGCGCAGUUUGGCACCUCGAUGUCGGCUUAGCUCAUCCACAUGAAUGCAGGAGACAUGAAGGGUAGGACUGUUCGUCCAUUAAAGAGCUACACGAGCUGGGUUAAAUACGUCGUGAGACAGUAUGGUUUCUAUCUUCUAGAGGAAAUUAGAAUAAAAUAAGGAUAGCCCCUUGUACGUAAGGAGUUGGGUAUAUUAACCUAUGGUUUACCUGUUGUUUAUCUACCUAUAUUAAUAUAGUUACUAUGACUUAUAAGUUUAUAACUAAGGGCGCAAUCCCCAAAAGUUCCAUGGCUUAUACUGGGAUGUUAUUUUUCACUAAAAUAAUGUUUAGGUAUAAAAAAACUAAAAUAGAUGAUAUACCUAGUCCAGGAUAGGCACGGCAGGAAAGCUAUGUUAGUUAAAGAUAAGUGCUGAAUGCAUCUAGGCACGAAACAUACCUUAAGAUAUUCUUAAAUAUAUGUAGUAUAAUACUACGAUUUUAGGUCUUUAUAUAUUUUUUUUUACUAUAUUGUAACUUAAUUUACGAUAGGGUAGAUAACAAAUGUUAUAUGACUUUAAUUAAUAGGCUUUGGCUUAAAGAAUUGUGACAUUUUUAGGCACAAAGUACUAAUUUUAUAAUUUACUAAAUAAUACGCUUAUCUUUACACUGUAUACUAUAAAAAACAUGUCUACAAAAGAUAUGUAACUAAGUUAUAGCUUUAAGCCUGGUUAGCAUAAAAGUAAUGUUACCGUUUUGUAAUCGGUAGAAGCAAGUGCGAUACUUGCACUGGGCU
rnacentral:rRNA from 1 species